GACGAACGCUGGCGGCAGGCCUAACACAUGCAAGUCGAGCGGAGCGGCGGACGGGUGAGUAAUGCCUAGGAAUCUGCCUGGUAGUGGGGGAUAACGUACGGAAACGGGCGCUAAUACCGCAUACUAUCAGAUGAGCCUAGGUCGGAUUAGCUAGUUGGUGGGGUAAAGGCCUACCAAGGCGACGAUCCGUAACUGGUCUGAGAGGAUGAUCAGUCACACUGGAACUGAUACACGGCCCAGACUCCUACGGGAGGCAGCAGUGGGGAAUAUUGUACAAUGGGCGAAAGCCUGAUCCAGCCAUGCCGCGUGUGUGAAGAAGGUCUUCGGAUUGUAAAGCACUUUUAGUUGGGAGGCGUUACCUACAGAAUAAGCACCGGCUAACUUCGUGCCAGCCGCCGCGGUAAUAC
rnacentral:rRNA from 1 species